rnacentral:SRP_RNA from 1 species
GCCGAGCUUAGUAAUGUGGGCUUGUAACCCAAAUGGGGGCAUUAAUGUGGUGGGAUAUUGGGCUGCACCAGAUGGUUGGGCUUGGUGGGCUAGUUUCUGGCUUGCCCUAUCCAAGCUCAGAGUUGGAUCACGUGGCCCAAUUGAAGAAAUGGGCUGCUUGAUUCCUAAAGUUUGGCGGGAACGCGUGAGGCUGGUUUUACAGAGCAACGAAUAGCUUUUGCUCUAAGCAGUGGAAGGAUAACGAGUCGGUGCCUCCCAAGUUCAGUUAACGCCUGAUGGGCUGCUCUAAUUAAACCACUACUUUU